rnacentral:SRP_RNA from 1 species
CCCGAGAGGUUGGCGGACGAAAGACCCGCCAAUCCGGUCAGGCCCGGAAGGGAGCAGCCGUAACGGGAUAUUUUGGGUUGUCCAAUCUCUCACUUAA